GAUGAACGCUGGCGGCGUGCCUAAGACAUGCAAGUCGAGUGGGUUUAGACCCACGGCGAACGGGUGAGUAAUACCUAGGAACGUUCUUUAAGCGGAGCAUAACCAGCCGAAAGGUUGGAUAAUUCUCCAUAUUGUCGCAAGACGAAAGUAGCAAUACGCUUAAAGUGCGGCCUGGGCACCAUCAGCUAGUUGGUAAGGUAAUGGCUUACCAAGGCUAUGACGGUUAGGGGGCCCGAGAGGGUGAACCCCCACACUGGGACUGCGACACGGCCCAGACUCCUACGGGAGGCAGCAGUUUGGAAUAUUGGACAAUGGGCGAAAGCCUGAUCCAGCGACGCCGCGUGGACGACGAAGGUCUUCGGAUUGUAAAGUCCUUUUGGCAGGGACGAUAAUGACGGUACCUCGCGAAUAAGCCCCGGCUAACUCUGUG
rnacentral:rRNA from 1 species